GACGUAGGAUGCGAGCGUUGUUCGGAUUUAUUGGGCGUAAAGCGUCCGUAGAUGGUUUUGUCAGUCUGCUGUCAAAGCACAGGGCUUAACCCUGUAAAGGCAGUGGAAACUACAAGACUAGAGUGCAGUAGGGGCAGAGGGAAUUCCCAGUGUAGCGGUGAAAUGCGUAGAGAUUGGGAAGAACAUCCGUGGCGAAAGCGCUCUGCUGGACUGCAACUGACAUUGAGGGACGAAAGCUAGGGGAGCGAAUGGG
rnacentral:rRNA from 1 species